GAUGAACGCUGGCGGCGUGCCUAAUACAUGCAAGUCGAGCGAAGCGGGGACGGGUGAGUAACACGGGGAUAACCUCCUAUAAGACUGGGAUAACUUAGGGAAACCGGAGCUAAACCGGAAAAUUAUCGAUGGAACCGGGCCGCAUUAGCUAGUUGGUAAGGUAACGGCUUACAGAGGCGAAGAUACGUAGCCGACCUGAGAGGGGGAUCGGCCACACUGGAACUGAGACACGGUCCAGACUCCUACGGGAGGCAGCAGUAGGGAAUCUUCCGCAAUGGGCGAAAGCCUGACGGAGCUACGCCGCGUGAGUGAUGAAGGUCUUCGGAUCGUAAAACUCUGUUAUUAGGGAAGCGGUACCUAAUCAGAAAGCCACGGCUAACUACGUGCCAGCAGCCGCGGUAAUAC
rnacentral:rRNA from 1 species